AAUCAACGCUGGCGGCGUGCCUAACACAUGCAAGUCGAACGCGAAAGCCCCUUCGGGGGCAAGUAGAGUGGCGUCCGGGUGAGUAACACGUGGGUAAUCUACCUCCGGGUGGGGAAUAACUCGCCGAAAGGCGGGCUAAUACCGCAUAAUGCAGCGGCACCGAAUGGUGAUUAGUUGUUAAAGCGGGGGACCUUAGGGCCUCGCGUCUGGAGAGGAGCCUGCGGCAGAUUAGCUUGUUGGUAGGGAAUGGCCUACCAAGGCUGCGAUCUGUAGCUGGUCUGAGAGGACGGCCAGCCACACUGGCACUGACACACGGGCCAGACUCCUACGGGAGGCAGCAGUGGGG
rnacentral:rRNA from 1 species